UAGUAACGGCGAGUGAAGCGGCAACAGCUCAAAUUUGAAAUCUGGCCUCUGGCCCGAGUUGUAAUUUGUAGAGGAUGCUUUUGGUGAGGUGCCUUCCGAGUUCCCUGGAACGGGACGCCAUAGAGGGUGAGAGCCCCGUCUGGUUGGACACCGAGCCUCUGUAAAGCUCCUUCGACGAGUCGAGUAGUUUGGGAAUGCUGCUCUAAAUGGGAGGUAUAUGUCUUCUAAAGCUAAAUACCGGCCAGAGACCGAUAGCGCACAAGUAGAGUGAUCGAAAGAUGAAAAGCACUUUGAAAAGAGGGUUAAACAGUACGUGAAAUUGUUGAAAGGGAAGCGCUUGUGACCAGACUUGGGCUUGGUUAAUCAUCCAGUGUUCUUCACUGGUGCACUUGGCCGGCCCAGGCCAGCAUCAGUUCGGUGCGGGGGAUAAAGGCUUCGGGAAUGUGGCUCCCCCGGGAGUGUUAUAGCCCGUUGUGCAAUACCCUGCGCCGGACUGAGGUUCGCGCAUCUGCAAGGAUGCUGGCGUAAUGGUCAUCAGCGACCCGUCUUGAAACACGGACCAAGGAGUCGUCUUCGUAUGCGAGUGUUCGGGUGUCAAACCCCUACGCGUAAUGAAAGUGAACGCAGGUGAGAGCUUCGGCGCAUCAUCGACCGAUCCUGAUGUUCUCGGAUGGAUUUGAGUAAGAGCAUACGGGGCCGGACCCGAAAGAAGGUGAACUAUGCCUGUAUAGGGUGAAGCCAGAGGAAACUCUGGUGGAGGCUCGCAGCGGUUCUGACGUGCAAAUCGAUCGUCAAAUAU
rnacentral:rRNA from 1 species